rnacentral:rRNA from 1 species
UACGGGGGGUGCUAGCGUUAUUCGGAAUCAUUGGGCGUAAAGGGCGCGUAGGCGGUUUUUUAAGUCAGAUGUGAAAGCCCUCGUCUUAACCGAGGAAGUGCAUUUGAUACUAAGAGACUUGAGUAUGGGAGAGGGAAGCGGAAUUCCUGGUGUAGCGGUGAAAUGCGUAGAUAUCAGGAGGAACACCGGUGGCGAAGGCGGCUUCCUGGACCAAUGCUGACGCUGAGGCGCGAAGGCGUGGGGAGCAAACAGG